rnacentral:misc_RNA from 1 species
AGCAGCCGCGGUAAUUCCAGCUCCAAUAGCGUAUAUUAAAGUUGUUGCAGUUAAAAAGCUCGUAGUUGAAUUUCGAGAUCAAAUUGUUGGUCGUGCCUUGGUACGCACUGGCAUUAUUGGUUUCUCCCUUCUGACGAACCAUGAUGUCAUUAAUUUGGUGUCUUGGGGAAUCAGGACUGUUACUUUGAAAAAAAUUAGAGUGUUUAAAGCAGGCUCACGCUUGAAUACAUUAGCAUGGAAUAAUGAAAUAGGACGUUUGAUUCUAUUUUGUUGGUUUCUAGGAUCGACGUAAUGAUUAAUAGGGAUAGUUGGGGGCAUUAGUAUUCAAUUGUCAGAGGUGAAAUUCUUGGAUUUAUUGAAGACUAACUACUGCGAAAGCAUUUGCCAAGGAUGUUUUCAUUAAUCAAGAACGAAAGUUAGGGGAUCGAAGACGAUCAGAUACCGUCGUAGUCUUAACCAUAAACUAUGCCGACUAGGGAUCGGAUGAUGUUAAUUUUUUUAAUGACUCAUUCGGCGCCUU